UGAGGAAUAUUGGGCAAUGCCCGAAAGGGUGACCCAGCAACGCCGCGUGGAGGAUGAAGGUCGUAAGAUUGUAAACUCCUGUUAGAGGGGAAGAAUAACUAAGUUUGGAGCUUAGUAUGACUGUACCCUCAGAGAAAGCCCCGGCUAACUACGUGCCAGCAGCCGCGGUAAUACGUAGGGGGCAAGCGUUGUCCGGAUAUACUGGGUGUAAAGGGCGCGCAGGCGGAAUGGAAAGUCAGUGGUGAAAUCCUACAGCUUAACUGUAGAACUGCCUUUGAUACUUUCAUUCUUGAGUUCGGGAGAGAGAGACGGAAUUCCAGGUGUAGUGGCGAAAUACGUAGAUAUCUGGAAGAACACCAGUUGCGAAGGCGGUCUCUUGGUCCGACACUGACGCUGAGGCGCGAAAGCGUGGGGAGCAAACA
rnacentral:rRNA from 1 species